AGGGGCUGUUGGAGAAGGGGGCGGAGCGAGCUGGGUGGUGAGCGGCACUCUGGGACUCGGAGGACAGAGCGGCUAACCGCUGGAGGCGGGAGUCGGCGUGGGAUGAGAUCACUCAUUCUGGGGAAGAAAGCUCCCAUGUCAUGAAGACAAUCAUGCAGCUUUACAGAGAGAUCCACAUAGUGAGGAGCUGAGUUGUCCUGCAACUUGCAAGCCAUAUGCGAGAAAAGGAUGAUUCCCUAGAGAGGGCUAUGAACAAGAAUACAGAGCUGUGAACAGGAAUAUUUGGGAACAGAUAUUGUCAGAAAACCAUCUUUCAAAUAGUGGCUACUCCAAAAUUCAACCAGGUUGAGGAAGCUGUUCACUAGUCAAGGGGGCAAUUUUUCCUGAAGAGGAUACUGGAAAAGGAAGGACCUCCUAGAACAUGAAGUCAAGAGUCACGAAGGACAAUAGACUAUGAACCUACCUCCAGGAAACAAAAUUGAUUAAGUUUUCUACACUAACUCAGCUUAGUAGACCUUAUGAUAGUUCCUCAUUGGGAUUUCAGAAUUGCUAUGAAUCAGUGAUUGCUGGUUCUACCCUUUUCCCCUCAUAAAUAAGAGUAUUUAUAUGGGUUCCACAUUUUAUGAUGCAUGUGUGGGGUGCAAAUAGCAAACUUUUUAGUUUAUAGGACUUUGGCUCAAGAGAAGCUAUAUUUGAGCAUGAUAUACAUUUUAAGAGCUCGGGUUUCAAACUGGAUGUUUUGAUUGGAUAAGACCUUAGAGUAUUGUUAGAAUGGGGUGACUAUCUUUGUUUUGAGGAAGGGAAUGAACAUUUGUGAACAAUGGCAGGCUGUAUCAGAUUGCAUUAUUUCACAGAUAUUCAUUCCUCCAUACCCUUGCCAUGCUUUGUGAACAGUCUACUUUCCUGCCCACUGACUUUAGCCUAGAUCAUAUUACUUUCUUUGGCUAAAAGAUAUCUCAGUAGAAGUUUUAAAUGUGCUUGCAUAUUUUGUAUGGCUUGGUACCCAGUCUCCUGAUUUUUUCCUUCCAAAAUGAGAGUAGCAUGUCCCAGGUACAGGCUUACUCUUUCAGUCUGACCUCUGGAAUGAGAAUAUAUGUUUCAUGGAGACCAGGAGUUUUGAGAAAAAAGAACUAUUGACCGAGAAUCCCAUACCCUUGAAAAUAUCCUUCAGAAAUGAAGGGGAAAUCAAGGGGCACCUGAGUGGUUUAGUUGGUUAAGUGUCCAAAUUCAGCUCAGGUCACGAUCCCACGGUUUAUGAGUUCAAGCCUCAGGUCAGGCUCUGUGCUGAGAGCUCAGAGCCUGGAGCCUGCUUUGGAUUCGGUGUCUCCCUCUCUUUUUGCCCCUCCCCCAUUCACACUCUCUCUGUGUCAAGAAAAUAAACAUUUAAAAAAAUUUUUAAAAAUCUUCAUACGUGUGAAAUAAGUCAUAAACUCAUGGUAACGUGAUUUUUUACUAAAAACAUUGAUUCAGGAAAUCAAUUCUUUGGACAACAUAGAGGCUGGGUUAAAUAAGGAAGCUUAGUCCUUGUUGGGUAGAGGCCCUCACUUCAUCUGUUCACAGUGCACGGGCUCAGCACUUGCCCACACAAAGCCUCUGUCUGGAACUCACCUGCAUGUACUCGGCCCUUGGCCCUUGUCUGCAGCAUGACGAGGUGACUGGCACAGAGGAAAAGAUCAAUGCUCUCAUGAAAUCAGCUGGUAUAAAUGUGUAAUCUUUCUGGAGGGCCGUGUUUGCUAAGGCCCUGGUGAAUGUCAACAUUGGGAGCCUCCUCUGCAAGGAAAGGCCUGGUGGACCCACUGCAGCACAGCAGCUGGUGCUGGACCAGCUGUCCCAGGUCCUUCCCCCUCUACCACUGUUGUCCCUGCUGUGAAGAAGGAGGUAGAAGCAAAGAAUGAAGAAUCCGGGGAAUCUGAUGGUGACACGGGUUUUGGUCUUUCUGACUAAACCUCUUCUGAACCUGUUCAGUAUAAAGCUGAACUCUUAAAAAAAAAAAAAA